rnacentral:antisense_RNA from 1 species
GCAGGUGAGAAAUCAUCUGGUUUUAUUGAGAAGCUGUUGGUCAUUUGAUGGAAAGACAUAUAUGGUACAAAAUUACAGGUGGUUUAGUUCAUUACAUGAUACAAAUCAUUAGAGUCUUUACAAGUCAUUAGAGUCUUUGGAUUUUUUAAACUCCCAUUUACUGUGUACCAAAUCAAUAUAAUCACGGAAUCAAAGUCACUUCUUUAUAUGUGAACUCUUCGCAUUUACACACAUAGAGAAGCUGUUCCAAGACCCGCCCACCCCCCCAACACCAUUAGUGUCUGCAGCCCACCAGGAAGGUGCCACUCCUGGGGCCUUCCAGGAGCGCAUCGGGAGUCCUAAGGCGGGUGGGCGGACAGGCGCUCUUGGAGGUGAGUCUGCUGCUCAGGGAGGCAAGAAAAGAAGAUAGAAGAUGGAGGCCAGCCCGCCCUGGCCUGCCACUCUCGAGACCGCACCUCCUGCCUGCCAAGUGCUGGCCCGGGGUCGGCGGGGCUCACUGCCUUGGUGACCAUGUCACUGCACGUCCCUCUUUCCCAGCCACAAGCUGACAUUAGUCCGCACCGAGAAGCAAGAGUGAACAGGGCC